AUGCUGGGUCCCCUCGCCUUCCUGUGCGCCCUCCUGUUUCCCGGCAGCUGGGCAGCGAUCAGCCUGGGGCAGCCCUCUAUGGUCGUGGCGCAGGCAGGCCACUCAGCCACUCUGUGGUGCAAAGCCAGCACCUCGGUCAGCUACAUCCACUGGUACCACCACCAGGAAGGUGCGGCCCCCAAGAGGCUCCUCACACUGGACAUGUCUGGAACGUUUGUGCAGAGAGAUGGGGGCCUGAAAGCGGACAAAGUCAAUGCCAAGAGGGGCAAGGGUAGCAACAGCUGUGACCUGUCCGUGCUGAAGCUGGAGAAGAGCGACGAGGGCGUGUACUACUGUGCUUGGGCUGGGUAUGGCUGGGCCCACAAAGUGUUCGGUUCUGGCACGCUGCUCAGGGUCACAGCUAAAAGCCCUGAUGAAGACACUUCCCCCAAGCCCACGAUUUUUCUUCCUUCAAUUGCUGAAAGAAAACUCCACAAGGCUGGAACGUAUCUUUGUCUUCUUGAGGAUUUUUUCCCUGAUGUUAUCAAUAUAGAUUGGAAAGAGAAAAAUGGCAGAGUAAUAUUGAAAUCCCAGCAGGGAGACACCAUGAAGACUAAGGACACAUACAUGAAAUACACCUGGCUGACCGUGAGAGAAGACUCAAUGGGUAAAGAACACAAAUGUAUCGUCAAACACCAGAAGAAUAAAGGAGGGGUUGAUCAAGAGAUUCUUUUUCCUUCAAUAAACACAGCAGAUUUGGUGACGGGAUCCAAAGUGGGCUUCCAGAAGGAAUCAGAGACAAGUAGAAACACAAGGCCGGUAACCGUGAGCCCUUCGAGUACACUGUCUGCAUCACCAUUUUCAAGUGCCGCGGAGCUCACUGCUGUUAACUCUACAGAAUCUUCUUUGAAAGACAAAAAUGACCCCCUGCAGCUGCAGCUGGUGAACACCUCUGCCUACUGCACCUACCUCCUCCUCCUCGUCAAGAGCAUGGUCUACACCGUCAUCACCGCCAUCUGUCUGCUUGGGAGAGCGGCACUCUGUGACAAUGGGAAGAGUUCCUGA